CUGAAAAUGGUUUGCCUGAGAAUGGCUCUUCCGAUGCAGAGCUGAUCAAAAGCUGCAAUAAUGCCUCUGUGAAAUGACAUAUUUGAUAGAAUCGGAAGAGAAGGUGAUUGCACAGUUAAAAUUAUAACUGUGAGGUAGCUGAGGGGUGUAGGGCCCCGUUGGGGCCAGGGGCCCUUUUGCCCCCCAUCGGGCCCUGUCCAGCCAAGCUGGGCCCCUGGCCAAAAACAUGCAGCAUCCAGAGAGAGAGAGAGAGACUCCCCAGGAGUUCUCCGGCCGGCCUCACCAACUUCCCUCACUGCAGAGGAGGGGUGGUGAUGGGCUGGCUAGACUCUGCCAGCCCUGGCCCAGGAGGACUCCAGGCCGGCAGCCAUGACUCUGAGUCGGCAGCAGCUCAGAGCAGAGAAGCCCCUGUGAAGAAGUGGCGGCAGCUACGGCCAGGGCCGAGACUGGGCUCCUGGCCAAAGAUAUGCAGCCAAGACCAGAAGAAUUCCAGAGAGCAAGAGAAAAACUGCCCAGAGAAGCAGAGCAUGGCACAGAGCCAGACCGAGGAACACCGGAGUGUCCCGCUGGGAGAGCUUGCAACGGAGCAGAGAGAGAGAAACUUUAAGCAGUCUCGCUGCCCCUUCCCUGCCAUGGAGGCGGAAGGAGGUGACUGGAGCUGAAACCGGAGCAGUAGAGAAGGGCCAAAGGGCCCACAGAUGUCCUGCAAGCUAGACCAGGGUGGCCAGACCCUGAGUUUGCAGCAGCCAAAGCAGCAGAAGCAGCAGCAGCAGCAGCAACAAACUGGACGAGCAGAGAGUGUGCCUGCAUCCGGGAGCUGAGUAGAGCAGAGAGAGGCCAAGCUUGGAACAUUCUAGGACUGACCUGAGAUGCUUGAGGUGAGAAAGAGAGUCUGUGCUGUACAGGAGGAUUUCCAUCUGCAGCCAUUUCAAUCAGACAGUAACCUUCAGGACUGCUCACAGGCAACAUGUAGCUGGAAGGAAACAGAUCUCAUUACUGUUUGUGCUGUUAACCACAGAGUAUUCAAACCUCUCACAACAAAGGCAAAGUGAAAAAGAUGCUUAUGCCUCCAUAAAGGAUGACAAUCUUUGGAAAAUUUAAUUCCAGUUUCAUGGCUACUUGAACUACCCAGGAGACAGAAGAUAUUGAAAGAGGAGCCAGGCCUAAAAGAGUUAACUGAGAUAUCUCGGCCUGCUAAGAAACCCCAAUAUCUGUUUUGCUAGAAGAACAUUUUAGGAGCACUGGUUAAUAUCAUGUUCUGUUCUGCUCACUGGACCAAAGGCCGCCUUAUAGAAAGAAUAGGAUUAGUACACACAUAGUAAUAAAUUAGGUAAACUAGAUGUUUGAAUAAGAUAUAGAAGGCCCAGAGCCAGGAUUUUGCAAGCUUGAAGAAUUCAGGUCACCUAAUCGAAUAGGUCAAAUUGAGGAAGACGUCCAUGGCAACCACCAGAGGGAUGAAGGCUUGAGGAGAAGACUCCCACAGUAGAAUGACUCCGCCCAGGGACUAGCCUACUUAUUAAUAUGUAUGUUUAAUGAUGUAACAAUGUAUCUAAAGUGUAUAAAAUGGCUUGGUUUUGCACUUUCAAGUCGAGCAAGUUUGACCAGUGCGAGCUGGCUUGCUCCCAACGUUGAAUAAACAAAUACCUUGCUGCUUAAAGAUGCAAAAGUCUCUGAGCAGUUCUUCAUACCAGAUUUUUUGGCAUCAGGUUAAAAUUAUUUUUUUUUCUAAACAACCCCUUACAUCAUAUACUAUAAUAGUCCAGCCCACAAAGAAAAAAAGUUUAAGUGAUGUGGCAAAGUUAAUAAAGAAGAAUGUUCACCUAAUGAAAAAGAAAAGAACCAUAUGAUCUAUGUAAGUUUGACAAUCUUCAAGCAAUUAACCAUCCAAGUCAAAUUCAGCAUUGUAAAUUUUGUCUGGUAUUCACACAUUCUCACUGUUUUGCACACACAAUUUCCCUUGUUUUGAUCUU